rnacentral:rRNA from 1 species
UACGAAGGGGGCUAGCGUUGCUCGGAAUCACUGGGCGUAAAGCGCACGUAGGCGGAUCUUUAAGUCAGGGGUGAAAUCCCGGGGCUCAACCCCGGAACUGCCUUUGAUACUGGUAGUCUCGAGUCCGGAAGAGGUGAGUGGAAUUCCGAGUGUAGAGGUGAAAUUCGUAGAUAUUCGGAGGAACACCAGUGGCGAAGGCGGCUCACUGGUCCGGUACUGACGCUGAGGUGCGAAAGCGUGGGGAGCAAACAGG